rnacentral:rRNA from 1 species
GCCCAGACUCCUACGGGAGGCAGCAGUGGGGAAUAUUGGACAAUGGGGGCAACCCUGAUCCAGCCAUGCCGCGUGAGUGAUGACGGCCUUAGGGUUGUAAAGCUCUUUUACCCGGGACGAUAAUGACGGUACCGGGUGAAUAAGCCCCGGCUAACUUCG